AAACAGACAGACUUUGAGUGCUAAGAUUCAUAGUCGAGAGGGAAACAGCCCAGACUAUUCGUUAAGGUCCUUAAAAAUAAUUAAGUGAAAAAGUUGUAAAAAAUUAAAGACAGUCGGUAGGUAGGCUUGGAAGCAGCCAUCCUUUAAAGAAAGCGUAACAGCUCACUGGUUUAGAUUUUUUGCAACGAAAAUGUAUAGGGGCUAAAAUUAUUUACCGAAACGAUAGAUUUAAUAAAAAUUUUAAAUGGUAGCAGAACGUUCUGUAAAUCAAAGAAGAUUUAUGGCGACAUAGAUUGAAGAAAUCAGAAUUGAAAAUGUUGAUAUGAGUAGCGAUAAACAACGCGAGAAACGUUGUCGCCUUAAGUUCAAGGUUUCCGAGAAAAGGCUAAUCCGUCUCGGGUUAAUCGGUCCCUAAGAAAAAAACGAAAGUUUUAAUUCGAUGGGUAUAUAAAUAAU
rnacentral:rRNA from 1 species